UACGGAGGGUGCGAGCGUUAAUCGGAAUUACUGGGCGUAAAGCGCGCGUAGGCGGUUAUCUAAGCUAGAUGUGAAAUCCCCGGGCUUAACCUGGGAAUUGCAUUUAGAACUGGAUAGCUAGAGUACAGAAGAGGGGUGUGGAAUUUCCGGUGUAGCGGUGAAAUGCGUAGAGAUCGGAAGGAACAUCAGUGGCGAAGGCGACACUCUGGUCUGAUACUGACGCUGAGGUGCGAAAGCGUGGGGAGCAAACAGG
rnacentral:rRNA from 1 species